AAUCCAUAGGUUAAUGAGGCGAACCGGGGGAACUGAAACAUCUAAGUACCCCGAGGAAAAGAAAUCAACCGAGAUUCCCCCAGUAGCGGCGAGCGAACGGGGAGGAGCCCAGAGCCUGAAUCAGCAUGUGUGUUAGUGGAAGCGUCUGGAAAGGCGCGCGAUACAGGGUGACAGCCCCGUACACAAAAGCGCAUGUGCUGUGAGCUCGAUGAGUAGGGCGGGACACGUGGUAUCCUGUCUGAAUAUGGGGGGACCAUCCUCCAAGGCUAAAUACUCCUGACUGACCGAUAGUGAACCAGUACCGUGAGGGAAAGGCGAAAAGAACCCCGGCGAGGGGAGUGAAAAAGAACCUGAAACCGUGUACGUACAAGCAGUGGGAGCCCCACCACUAAGCCAGUGGUGAACUCCACAUACGCAUCCUUUGCUGAGGAUACGGUUAACGGAGCGAAAGCGACGUUCAACCGCAAAAGAAGCAGAGGGGGCUUAGUGGUGGGGUGACUGCGUACCUUUUGUAUAAUGGGUCAGCGACUUAUAUUCUGUAGCAAGGUUAACCGUAUAGGGGAGCCGUAGGGAAACCGAGUCUUAACCGGGCGUUAAGUUGCAGGGUAUAGACCCGAAACCCGGUGAUCUAGCCAUGGGCAGGUUGAAGGUUGGGUAACACUAACUGGAGGACCGAACCGACUAAUGUUGAAAAAUUAGCGGAUGACCUGUGGCUGGGGGUGAAAGGCCAAUCAAACCGGGAGAUAGCUGGUUCUCCCCGAAAGCUAUUUAGGUAGCGCCUCGUGAAUUCAUCUCCGGGGGUAGAGCACUGUUUCGGCUAGGGGGCCAUCCCGGCUUACCAACCCGAUGCAAACUGCGAAUACCGGAGAAUGUUAUCACGGGAGACACACGGCGGGUGCUAACGUCCGUCGUGAAGAGGGAAACAACCCAGACCGCCAGCUAAGGUCCCAAAGUCAUGGUUAAGUGGGAAACGAUGUGGGAAGGCCCAGACAGCCAGGAUGUUGGCUUAGAAGCAGCCAUCAUUUAAAGAAAGCGUAAUAGCUCACUGGUCGAGUCGGCCUGCGCGGAAGAUGUAACGGGGCUAAACCAU
rnacentral:rRNA from 1 species